rnacentral:rRNA from 1 species
UCUCUCCCUGAAAAAGGGUGGUAAUGCCGGAUGUUCCAGUUGAUCGCAUGGUCUUCUGGGAAAGCUUUCGCGGUAUGGGAUGGGGUCGCGUCCUAUCAGCUUGACGGCGGGGUAACGGCCCACCGUGGCUUCGACGGGUAGCCGGCCUGAGAGGGCGACCGGCCACAUUGGGACUGAGAUACGGCCCAGACUCCUACGGGAGGCAGCAGUGGGGAAUAUUGCACAAUGGGCGCAAGCCUGAUGCAGCGACGCCGCGUGAGGGAUGGAGGCCUUCGGGUUGUAAACCUCUUUUAUCGGGGAGCAAGCGAGAGUGAGUUUACCCGUUGAAUAAGCACCGGCUAACUACGUGCCAGCAGCCGCGGUAAUACGUAGGGUGCAAGCGUUAUCCGGAAUUAUUGGGCGUAAAGGGCUCGUAGGCGGUUCGUCGCGUCCGGUGUGAAAGUCCAUCGCUUAACGGUGGAUCCGCGCCGGGUACGGGCGGGCUUGAGUGCGGUAGGGGAGACUGGAAUUCCCGGUGUAACGGUGGAAUGUGUAGAUAUCGGAAAAGAACACCACACCCG